rnacentral:lncRNA from 1 species
UCUAAAAAGGUUUGUAAAUCAACCAUAAAAGUAUCAUCAUCACUUUUCCUAUAUCCUAUGUGGAAAACAAAGUUUAAUAGAAGUGGUUUCAUCAUUUUAUCACUUUUCCACUAUUUAUCAUGCAAUCAGCAAUAUUAACAUAGCAAGCAAGUAUUUACAUCUAAAACAGUAGGAACAAUAAGAAUUCUACUAAAACAAGUCAUAUAUCUGAAACAUGCAUGUUACAAGGAAGCUAACAAAAGUGGUUUUACAAUUUUUAGUGCACAGGGUGAUCUAUAAAGCAUUUAAUGGCUUCCACACAAAAUAAAUCAUAGCACAAAGUAUAAAACAGCAGCAUGCACAAAAAUCAUUUCUGAAAUAAACUAGACACCACAAUGAACCCAACAAAAUAAGAAUCACAUUUUUAGCAUUUUUCUACAAGUUUCUAUGUAUUUUCAAAGUUUGCAACAUUUUAAAACCACCAAUUAAAACAAAACCGAGCCAACUUGCAAGCUACCCCCUGGAAACAAAUUUUUUUUCUCAGAUCCGCCCUUCUAUUAACACUCUACCACUGCAUUUUGUGCUCAGGUCCCUGGGAAGAAUCCCACCUCACACAUAAAACCUGAAACUUUCCCCAUAACCCCCUG